AUUUAUAUAGUUUAUUAAAAACAUUACAUUUUCAUAGUAAAAAUUCUAAUUAAUUGAUGAUAUAAAUA
rnacentral:tRNA from 1 species